GCUUAGGGGUCGGUGGUGGCCGCCCAGUGCACUGUGCGCAGCGUGGCCCUGGCCGUGGGGUCCGGACACUCCAGGCGUCUGUGGAUUCGUAGUCUUUUGUUGGGUUUCCUCUUAGUGCCUAGGCCUCGUCUCCUUUAAAAGUAAGAUGGCUUUGUAGAAGUACCCGCACAAGCUCCUCCCCGUGUGUGAAGCACUAAGAAACACACCCAACUGCCGGCGAUUCCCACUGCCUGAAAAAGGUUGAAUUAUCAGCAACUUUUCUGAAUGGCAGAAACGGAGAAGCCCAGGUCUACUUCCGCCCUGGACGUUACAACUACUGGGGGGCCGUCCCACUGAGAGCCCGCCUUUGAGUCCGACUUCUCAACAGGCUAAGUGCCCAAACUUCUCACUUCCCCAAGUGAGGCUGCCAGACGAGGCGUGUCAAAGGGCUCCCGCCCCUCCUCCGCCACCUGCUGUGGAAUCAGCGGUUUCCUAGGAGACCACCUAAGAAAGGACCAGGAUUCUGCCAGGAUUCUGUCAUUUGAGCCUCGUUCUCGGACCCCACUCCCCACCCCCACCGGAGCCUGCUCUCUAAGUCGCUGGGGCCUGAAAUUCUGAGUGUCCCCCGUACUGUGGUCCCUCCGAGCGCGGCGUUAAUAAUUCUUACACCUAACAACCCACUUCAGUGUCCCCCCCUUGAGCCUGUUUUUUUUUUUUUCCCCAGGGAUAUACUCCAGCAAGGAGUUAGACUUGGUUUUCUUUUUUAACUGUUUGAGCCAUAAAGGGGCUUGUGGGAGCCAGCCAUGAUAAGCUAAAUAGAAACAGACCACCCAAAGGAAGUUCUUUACUUCCAACCAUUAUCACGGGCCAGAAUAGGACUCAGCCAUCGAUAAGUUUAAUAAAGGCCUGAAUCUCAGUAGGUUGCUGAUAAACUAAGAUUACCUGAGCACCACCCAAGAACAGACCAUCCAAAAGAAAUGCCUUUACACCUUACAUUCCAACCGCUGUAGACAGGACCACCUUCCAGCACACACUCACCAGGACACCCCUAGACAAAUAAAUGUCAGUCAAUCAGGGGUCCUGAACCUCAGAAAUCCCGCAUUCCCACCUUUACUACUAUAAAAACCCAACUCUAACUGAGCUCGGGGCUUUCCGUUUGUUCCAAUACAUUGGACAUGCGGAGAGGCGGAGUUUGCAAACUUGCAUAAAAUAAAGGCUCUUUAUAUACGGGA